UUCUGAAGGGGUGCCUAAGAAGCAAGGGAAAUAUCCCGAACUUCUGUCUGACUAAGACCAUUAGCAGAUAAAAACAACGGGCUGAGAUUAUACCCAUGAACCUGAUCCGGGUAAUGCCGGCGUAGGGAGAGAGUUAUAA
rnacentral:ncRNA from 1 species